CAAGUCGAACGCGAAAGUCCCGCAAGGGAUGAGUAGAGUGGCAAACGGGUGAGUAACACGUGGGUGACCUGCCUUCGAGCGGGGGAUAACGACCCGAAAGGGUCGCUAAUACCGCAUAACAUCCUGCCCUUGAACGGGUGGAGAUCAAAGCUGGGGAUCGCAAGACCUAGCACUCGGAGAGGGGCCCGCGCCUGAUUAGCUAGUUGGUGGGGUAAUGGCUCACCAAGGCUACGAUCAGUAUCCGGCCUGAGAGGGCGGACGGACACACUGGGACUGAGACACGGCCCAGACUCCUACGGGAGGCAGCAGUGGGGAAUUGUUCGCAAUGGGCGCAAGCCUGACGACGCAACGCCGCGUGGAGGAUGAAGAUCUUCGGGUCGUAAACUCCUUUCGAUCGAGACGAAUUCCCCUGGGGUGAACAAUCCCGGGGGUUGACGGUACCGAGAGAAGAAGCCCCGGCUAACUCCGUGCCAGCAGCCGCGGUAAUACGGGGGGGGCAAGCGUUGUUCGGAAUUACUGGGCGUAAAGGGCUUGUAGGUGGCCAACUAAGUCAGACGUGAAAUCCCUCGGCUUAACCGGGGAACUGCGUCUGAUACUGGAUGGCUCGAGUUUGGGAGAGGGAUGCGGAAUUCCAGGUGUAGCGGUGAAAUGCGUAGAUAUCUGGAGGAACACCGGUGGCGAAGGCGGCAUCCUGGACCAACACUGACACUGAAAAGCGAAAGCCAGGGGAGCAAACGGGAUUAGAUACCCCGGUAGUCCUGGCCCUAAACGAUGAAUGCUUGGUGUGGCGGGUAUCGAUCCCUGCCGUGCC
rnacentral:rRNA from 1 species